rnacentral:rRNA from 1 species
GCUUGUCUCAAAGAUUAAGCCAUGCAUGUCUAAGUAUAAAUAAAUCAUACUGUGAAACUGCGAAUGGCUCAUUAUAUCAGUUAUAGUUUAUUUGAUAGUCCCUUACUACUUGGAUAACCGUAGUAACUCUAGAGCUAAUACAUGCGCAAAUUCCCGACUGCCGCAAGGCGGAAAGGAUGUAUUUAUUAGAUCCAACCAGCCCGGUUCGCCGGAGUCCCUGGUGAGUCAUAAUAACUGUUCGAAUCGCAUGCUUCGGCAGGCGAUAGUUCAUUCAAAUUUCUGCCCUAUCAGCUUUCGACGGUAGUGUAGUGGACUACCGUGGCGUUAACGGGUAACGGAGAAUUAGGGUUCGAUUCCGGAGAGGGAGCCUGAGAAAUGGCUACCACAUCCAAGGAAGGCAGCAGG